GAGAGAGGUUAUUGGAAUUCCUAGUGUAGGAGUGAAAUCCGUAGAUAUUAGGAGGAACACCGAUGGCGUAGGCAGAUAACUGGCUCAUUCCUGACACUAAGGCACGAAAGCGUGGGUAGCAAACGGGAUUAGAUACCCCGGUAGUCCACGCUGUAAACGAUGGAUGCUAGCUGUUAUGAGUAUCGACCCUCGUAGUAGCGAAGCUAACGCGUUAAGCAUCCCGCCUGUGGAGUACGAGCGCAAGCUUAAAACAUAAAGGAAUUGACGGGGACCCGCACAAGCGGUGGAGCGUGUCGUUUAAUUCGAUGGUAAGCGAAGAACCUUACCCAGGCUUGACAUCCUUGGAAGUUCUGCGAAAGCAGAGUGUGCCUUCGGGAGCCAAGUGACAGGUGAUGCAUGGCCGUCGUCAGCUCGUGUCGUGAGAUGUUUGGUUAAGUCCAUCAACGAGCGCAACCCUUUUGAAUAGUUGAAUUUUUCUAUUCAUACUGCCCUGGUAACAGGGAGGAAGGAGGGGAUGAUGUCAGGUCCGUAUUUCCCUUACGUCUGGGGCUACAAACACGCUACAAUGGCCGGUACAAAGGGCUGCCAAGUCGCGAGACGGAGCAAAUCCCAUCAAAACCGGUCUCAGUUCGGAUUGCAGGCUGAAACUCGCCUGCAUGAAGCUGGAAUCGCUAGUAACGGUAGGUCAGAACACUACCGUGAAUACGUUCCCGGGUCUUGUACACACCGCCCGUCAAACCAUGAAAGUCACCAAUACCUGACGUCUGGACUGC
rnacentral:rRNA from 1 species